rnacentral:rRNA from 1 species
AAUAUUGCACAAUGGGGGAAACCCUGAUGCAGCAACGCCGUGUGACCGAUGAAGGCCUUCGGGUCGUAUAGCUCUGUCCUAAGGGAAGAAACGACGCUACCUUAGCAGGCAGCCCCGGCUAACUACGUUCCAGCAGCCGCGGUAAUCCGUAGGGGGCAAGCGUUAUCCGGAAUCAUUGGGCAUAAAGGGUGCGUAGGCUGCCCUAUAGGUCAGAAGUCAAAGGCUACGGCUCAACCGUAGUAGGCAUUUGAAACUAUAGGGCUUGAGUGCAGGAGAGGAGAGUGGAAUUCCUAGUGUAGCGGUGAAAUGCGUAGAUAUUAGGAGGAACACCAGAGGCGAAGGCGACUCUCUGGACUGCAACUGACGCUGAGGCACGAAAGCGUGGGUAGCGAACA